UGGGGGAUAUUGCACAAUGGGCGAAAGCCUGAUGCAGCGACGCCGCGUGGGGGAUGAAGGCCUUCGGGUUGUAAACUUCUUUUGCUCUGAACAAGGCAUGCUAAUGGGUGUGUUGAGUGUAGGGGUUGAUUAGCGCCGGCUAACUACGUGCCAGCAGCCGCGGUAAUACGUAGGGCGCGAGCGUUGUCCGGAAUUAUUGGGCGUAAAGGGCUUGUAGGUGGCUGGUUGCGUCUGUCGUGAAAGCUCAUGGCUUAACUGUGGGUUUGCGGUGGGUACGGGCUGGCUUGAGUGCAGUAGGGGAGGCUGGAAUUCCUGGUGUAGCGGUGGAAUGCGCAGAUAUCAGGAGGAAUACCGGUGGCGAAGGCGGGUCUCUGGGCUGUUACUGACACUGAGGAGCGAAAGUAUGGGGAGCGAACAGG
rnacentral:rRNA from 1 species